rnacentral:rRNA from 1 species
GACGAACGCUGGCGGCAUGCCUAAUACAUGCAAGUCGAGCGGAGUUAUGAUGGAGCUUGCUCCUGAUUAACUUAGCGGCGGACGGGUGAGUAACACGUAGGCAACCUGCCCUCAAGACUGGGAUAACUACCGGAAACGGUAGCUAAUACCGGAUAAUUUCUUUCCUCUCCUGAAGAGAGAAUGAAGGCGGAGCAAUCUGCUGCUUGGGGAUGGGCCUGCGGCGCAUUAGCUAGUUGGUGGGGUAACGGCUCACCAAGGCGACGAUGCGUAGCCGACCUGAGAGGGUGAACGGCCACACUGGGACUGAGACACGGCCCAG